UACGUAGGGUGCGAGCGUUAAUCGGAAUUACUGGGCGUAAAGCGUGCGCAGGCGGUUUUGUAAGCCAGAUGUGAAAGCCCCGGGCUUAACCUGGGAAUGGCAUUUGGGACUGCAAGGCUUGAGUGCGGCAGAGGAGACUGGAAUUCCUGGUGUAGCAGUGAAAUGCGCAGAUAUCAGGAGGAACACCAAUUGCGAAGGCAGCUCGCUGGGACGUUACUGACGCUGAGACGCGAAAGCGUGGGGAGCAAACAGG
rnacentral:rRNA from 1 species